ensembl:ncRNA Y66A7AL.2 ncRNA
UGUGUAAAUUAACAAAUAUCGGAGAGGAAGAACGAGCGCUUCUUCUUAUUACAUACAAAAAUAAAAAGGAGAUGCAUACACAUUUAUACUACUGCUACUGUAUGUGUAUAUCUGAUGUAAAUGGAAUAGAAGAGG